CAGAAAAUAGUUUAAUAGAAAAUGUUAAUUUUGGAGAUUAAAGAUAAGUGAUACUUUUUUCUGA
rnacentral:tRNA from 1 species